CCCCGAUUCAGAUCCCCUCUCCCCUCUCCCCUCUCCCUCGAUUCAGAUCAGAUCCCCUCUCGCCUCUCCCCCGAUCCAGACCUCGCCGCCGCCACCUACCUCAAGCCCAUCCCGCCGCCCGCGCCCGCGCGCCACCACUCACUCCGCGACUUCCGGCGGCUGUCAGCACACUAUCUGCGCUCCAUCCUUCACUCGGAUCAGAUCCGGCGUGCGCGUCCCCAUCCUCCCUUCCUGCCACUCCUAACCUAGUCUAUCCCCUUCCUCCUCCAGCCCAACGACCACGGCGUCGCGGCUGGCUUGCUCGCCGGAGCGCGCGUGUGUGCUUCGAUGCAAGGCGCUUCGUCGAGCUGGCCGGACCGCGGCAAUCCCCGGAGCCGGAGCCGGAGCCAGCCGCGACGAGAUGUUGCUGCCUCCAUCGUCGACCUCACCAACCUCUCCCCCGCCACCUCCAUCGUCACCCGCCUCCUCAAGCCCAAGGCCAAGCGCAGGAGCCUCGACAGCAGCGCCAGCAGCAUCGGCUCCUCCACUGUCCCCCGCAUCCCGACCCUCUCCGUCUCCAUCUCCGUGCCUAUUGUACUGAUAUGAAAGGUCAAGCAUGGAGGUUUCAAGAGCAUCCCUUUGUCCUGAUUAUCUUUCUGGUGUGCCUGGCAGAACUCUGCAGUUUGCUUGCUUUGGGACAACACGAGAUCUGAUUCCUCUCAAUGUUGAGCGCCAAGGGUCUCAAUGUGGGGUGUGCUACUGCUAUGGUGCCCACAUUUGCUUCCAUUUCUGCUCACAAGCAUAUGCACCUGCACGUCUAGUCUGUGGGCGAUCGAGGAAGGCAUGUUGUCUGUUUUCUUGAAGGCCGUUUUGUUUGUUCCCAGCCCUAACUAUAGUUGUCCAGCUAGUUCGGCAUUUUGUUCAUCUCACCAUGGUAGUCCAAUGAGUUUGUAUUGUUGUGAGUUUGGGGAGCAGGUGCCAGUUUGUGAUUGCUUGUAAAGC
rnacentral:rRNA from 1 species